GCCCGCAUGGCUCAGUGGUAGAGCGCAUCACUAGUACCGACAAUACAUGAUGAGGUCGUCAGUUCGAUUCUGGCUGUGGGCA